GGGGAAUUUUGGACAAUGGGCGAAAGCCUGAUCCAGCAAUGCCGCGUGUGUGAAGAAGGCCUUCGGGUUGUAAAGCACUUUUGUCCGGAAAGAAAUCCUCUGGGUUAAUACCUCGGGGGGAUGACGGUACCGGAAGAAUAAGCACCGGCUAACUACGUGCCAGCAGCCGCGGUAAUACGUAGGGUGCAAGCGUUAAUCGGAAUUACUGGGCGUAAAGCGUGCGCAGGCGGUUUUGUAAGACGGAUGUGAAAUCCCCGGGCUUAACCUGGGAACUGCAUUCGUGACUGCAAGGCUAGAGUAUGGCAGAGGGAGGUAGAAUUCCACGUGUAGCAGUGAAAUGCGUAGAGAUGUGGAGGAAUACCGAUGGCGAAGGCAGCCCCCUGGGCCAAUACUGACGCUCAUGCACGAAAGCGUGGGGAGCAAACA
rnacentral:rRNA from 1 species